rnacentral:rRNA from 1 species
AUUGAACGCCGGCGGCAGGCCUAACACAUGCAAGUCGAACGGCAGCGGGGGAUAGCUUGCUAUCCUGCCGGCGAGUGGCGGACGGGUGAGUAAUGCAUGGGGAGCUGCCCAGUCGAGGGGGAUAACAACUGGAAACGGUUGCUAAUACCGCAUACGCCCUGAGGGGGAAAGGUGGGGAACUUCGGUCCUACCGCGAUUGGAUGCGCCCAUGUGGGAUUAGCUAGUUGGUGAGGUAACGGCUCACCAAGGCGACGAUCUCUAGCUGGUCUGAGAGGAUGACCAGCCACACUGGAACUGAGACACGGUCCAGACUCCUACGGGAGGCAGCAGUGGGGAAUAUUGCACGAUGGGGGAAACCCUGAUGCAGCCAUGCCGCGUGUGUGAAGAAGGCCUUCGGGUUGUAAAGCACUCUCAGUCAGGAGGAAGGGGUGAUGGCUAAUAUCCAUCAUCAUUGACGUUACUGACAGAAGAAGCACCGACUAACUCCGUGCCAGCCGCCGCGGUAA